rnacentral:lncRNA from 1 species
GAAUAUAUUCAAAUUAUCAAAUUUCAAGAUAAUGGUGAAUGGUGAUUCUUUUGUUAAGAUUUGUGCAAUUUGUGGACACGCUAGAGGUUUUGGAACUGGUUAAUACAUUAGAUGAUGAGAUGUCCCCACUAGAAGCAGCCCAAAUAAUAUAUUCACAGGUACAUAUACAAAUUCCAAGUCAUUGAAUAUUUCAUUUCAUUUGUUGCUUUUUCGUUGAUUUCACGUUAACAUAUUUAGUUCCGCAAAACUCUUAUAAAUGAAAACACUGAUUGCUUACUAGUUACUACGAUUUAGGGGCCCAAAAUUUGAAGUUCGCCUCAGGCCUUGCAGUACACAGGUACGGCACUGAAUAUAAAUAUAUAUGGAUUUAUCUUUUAUUAAAAAAAAAAAGUUAAGAAUACAAUAGACAUUUUCAAGGGUGGACACGGGCAGUAGCACGGUGAAGCCUGUCUGUGAUCCGCCCUUGUGACCAGAAGUUGUGUGGCAUAAAUUUUCUGCAAUUCAAAUCGGUCGACAUGCGUGCAUCUGUAACACUAUUUGUACAGCCUAGUAGGUCACACACUUUGAUAUGAGGUGCAUUUAAGUCAUUCACCUUGAAUUUGAUUCAAUCAGAUCAUUCAACUUUGAUUUGCUUACCGAUUUAGCGACUCAUCUUCAACAUUUGGCAACUCACUCACUCAACAUCUACUUGCUUGUAGAUUUAGUCAUUUUGUCCACCAUUUCAGUUUAACUAACGGAAUAUACGGAACUCAGCAUUAAAAAUAAUGAACGUCUCAUAUGUAAAUUGUUCUUUUAUCUUAUAUGAUUUUU